rnacentral:lncRNA from 1 species
CACAUUUUGUAAUGUUUUCAAAUCGAGUCAUGUGAUUUUGUUUCUUCCAUAAACCACACAUUUUUAUAAGUGUUUUGAGUCUUUUAUUGAAAAAUCAUGUAACUCGGAAAAGCAAGGCACCUCAUGAAAGUUUUGGAAGACAUGAGAUGACGAUUAUCAAUGUACAUGAAGACUUUGAAGACAUUACAAGUUGGGAGAAUCCUAUCCCAAAGUCCUAAGACCAAAUCGGAAAAGGAAAACACACGAAGGAACCAAGAAAAAGACGAAAUUAGUACCAGUAGUUGAGGCCACCUGCCACGUGACAUGUGGAACAUAGAGCAUUUGGAUCUCUGUCAACUGCCACGCGCCUUGCACCAGCCCU